ensembl:snRNA U1 U1 spliceosomal RNA
ACACUUACCUACAGGGGAAAUACCAUAAUUAUGAGGGUUAUUUUCUGGGGAUGAAACUCAUCUGUUUUACUCUGGGCAUGCUGUCUCCUGUGAUUCUUCAAAUGUGGAAAACUUGACUGUAUAAUUUGUGGUAGUGGGAAAAUAUGCCCAUGCUUUCCCC